rnacentral:rRNA from 1 species
CGGCGGGCCUAAUACAUGCAAGUAGAACGCUGAAGAGAGGAGCUUGCUCUUCUUGGAAGAGUUGCGAACGGGUGAGUAACGCGUAGGUAACCUCCUUGUAGCGGGGGAUAACUAUUGGAAACGAUAGCUAAUACCGCAUAACAAUGGGGGACCCAUGUCAUUCAUUUGAAAGGGGCAAAUGCUCCACUACGAGAUGGACCUGCGUUGUAUUAGCUAGUAGGUGAGGUAACGGCUCACCUAGGCGACGAUACAUAGCCGACCUGAGAGGGUGAUCGGCCACACUGGGAUGAGACACGGCCCAGACUCCUACGGGAGGCAGCAGUAGGGAAUCUUCGGCAAUGGGGGCAACCCUGACCGAGCAACGCCGCGUGAGUGAAGAAGGUUUUUCGGAUCG